AAUAAACUAAAUUAACUUCUCACACAGACAAUUCCUGUUUUAUUAAUAGUGAAACCUCACAACUGUUUGUAAUCAAAUAAACAAAAUAAAGACCAAUUUAUCAAGUAGCAACUCUAUCUCGAAGGUACAGAGUUGAGAUUCCUUUGACGCUGGUCUGACUAUUAUCGACGCCGAUAUAAGUCCACACUUCAGAAUGACUCACGUCGAAUAAAGGUAUAUAAAGCCUUUCAACGACUGUUACGUGCCAUAAACUAGUCGACGGCUUUACUUGAUAGUCCUACAGUUUUUUCCUUAAAAUGAGAAUUUCGUGUAAACGUUCCGGCUCAGAAAUGUGCGAUUUUUCUGCUCUAAGUACGGAGAAACAAGAGCUAGUUAAAAUGUUCGUUGAAUAUUUGCAAUCGGAUGAACUUAAACACCAUGGGCAUGGACACGGGCAUCAUGGUCACCAUGGGAAGUUUGGAAAGCAUGGCCAUGGAAAGUUUGGACAUUUUGGUAAGCAUGGCAUGCAUGGUGGACGGCAUGGGCCCCAUGGCAUGCAUGGUGGACGACACGGCCCUCAUGGCCAUUGUGGGCCCCAUGGACACCGAGGGCACCACGGUCACGGCGGUCAUGGUAGGCCACAUGGUCACUGCCACCGCGGCCGUCACGGUCUGCAUGGUAAACACGGGAAGUUCUGGGCGCAGUGGACCGUUGACCUAACUGAGGAGUCUGAUGACUCCCAAAAUAUGGUGGAGACUGGCCGCAACCCAUCACCACCUCCAGCUGAGACAACUGAUCAGGAAACAGAAGGGAACAACACUGAUAACUGCAAAUGUUCCCGAUUCGGACGCAGACAUGGAGGCCGUUUUGGUAAAUGGAAGCUGCUUAAGAAAAACCAAGUACCAGUCGCCGAGAAUUCUUCUCAAACCGAGGAUAAUACUGAGAAUAGACAGGAAAAUCUAACUGAAAUGGUGGAAAACAUCAACAUUGAUAUUACUGAAUGAAACAAUUGAAGGUCACGAAGACAAUGGGACGCACUUGACCAAUCAGUGACGCCAGGGUUUUUACCUUAAUAUAAUGAUACUAUAUUUGGUCUCACUAAUUGUUGCAUUAUAAAAACCAUGAAUAGAGGUUGAUAUUGCUAAAGAUGGUGAAAUAUGAUGUUCUGCAAAAAGGGCAUAUAAAGCAAUAAAU